CUUCUGAAAAUAGUCUGGAUGCACCAAAUCCAGAUUUUUGGAGUUAGGCCGAAUACCGAAUCCACUGGUUCAGAUUCUGCCGCAUCUGAAUACCGAGUCCUACUCCCAUCACUAGUCCAUUAACACAGUAACACAACAAUGAAUGUCCACAGGCUCUAAAAUAAAUUCUAUGUAACAACUUAAUGUUGAAUUUACACUCUCUUUUCACAUUGUGGGAAAGCUAUGCCAGAUGAGUGACAAUUUUGUUUGGCAAAUUUUCGCUAACCAGUGUAUGAUGAAGGCAUGUUGGGUGGGUAGGGAGA